rnacentral:rRNA from 1 species
AGUAACGGCGAGUGAAGCGGUAACAGCUCAAAUUUGAAAUCUGGCCUCACGGUCCGAGUUGUAAUUUGUAGAGGAUGCUUCGAGCAUGGUCUGGCCUAAGUUCCUUGGAACAGGACGUCAUAGAGGGUGAGAAUCCCGUAUGCGGCCAGGUGCCUACGCUCAUGUGAAGCUCCUUCGACGAGUCGAGUUGUUUGGGAAUGCAGCUCAAAAUGGGUGGUAAAUUUCAUCUAAAGCUAAAUAUUGGCCAGAGACCGAUAGCGCACAAGUAGAGUGAUCGAAAGAUGAAAAGCACUUUGGAAAGAGAGUUAAACAGUACGUGAAAUUGUUGAAAGGGAAGCGCUUGCAACCAGACUUGCGCGCGGCCGAUCAUCCGGUGUUCUCACCGGUGCACUCGGCCGUGCUCAGGCCAGCAUCGGUUUUGGCGGCUGGAUAAAGGCCCUAGGAAUGUGGCUCCUCUCGGGGAGUGUUAUAGCCUAGGGUGCAAUGCAGCCUGCUGGGACCGAGGACCGCGCUUCGGCUAGGAUGCUGGCGUAAUGGUUGUAAGCGGCCCGUCUUGAAACACGGACCAAGGAGUCUAACAUCUAUGCGAGUGUUUGGGUGUCAAACCCAUACGCGUAAUGAAAGUGAACGGAGGUGAGAACCCUUAAGGGUGCAUCAUCGACCGGUCCUGAAGUUUACGGAAGGAUCUGAGUAAGAGCAUAGCUGUUGGGACCCGAAAGAU